rnacentral:lncRNA from 1 species
CCUCUCUUUCCUUUUCUCUCUUCCUCCUUCUCCCCUCCUCCUCCCCCUCUCCUAUACUCCUCCCUCCCUAGUCUCUUUUCUCCCCUCCCCUCCCCUCCCCUCCCCUCCUCCUCUCCUGUUCCUUUUCCCCUCUCCUCUCCUCCUCUCUUCCUCUCCUCCCUCUCCCUUCCUCCCUCCCCCCCUCUCCCUUUCCUCUCCCCUCUCCUCCAUUUCUUCCUUCCCCUGUUCCUCUCCUCUCUUCUCCCGAGGCCUUUCCUUCCUUACCCUCCUUCUCCCCACUUCCCUACCCCCCACCUCUCCCCUGCCCUCUCCUCUUCCCCUCUCUCCCCCCUCCCCUGCGCCUCUGUCGGCUGUGCCUGGAGCCCACACUGACACAUCUUGUACUUCCCGUUUCCAGGGAAAUUCCUUGCCCACUCGACCACACCCGCCCUCGAGGACCUGCCCAUCUCUUUGGGCAGAGCAGAGGCCAGACAGGGACCUGGAUUGUGAGGCGACACCCCCCUGCUGGGUGUGUGCCGGGAGCCUUCGAGGGGCAGGACAGCUCCCCUACCCCGGAGCCUGACUUGGGUUACAGGAGGAGGUGGGGCCGGUGGAGUGCGAGCGUGCGAGCCUCUCCCCGUCGAGCUGCAGAUUACAGGUCGUUCAGAUUCUGGGCUUCCCCCAUCCUUUGGCCUGCAGAGCAAAAAGCCGAGCUUCCAGGAGAGGUAUGAGACGGCUGUGGGUGCUCCAGGCCCCUCUCUGCAACUCCUGCAAGUUGCUGCGGACCGGAGGAUGACUGAGACGCAGCCUACUGCCUGUUGACAUCAGAGUUGGCGCUCCCAGGAGCGAGAGGAGGGUUAGGAACCAACAGUAAGCGGCUGGCAAAGGGAGGCGGGUAGGGGGACUCCCUUCAACACUCAGCUCCUCCCGGCCCGCCUGCCUGCCUGCCGGCCUUGCCCUGCGAGCAAGCGCCCUGCGUUCCACAUUCGGAAAGGAAGAGCGCUGACCUGGAGUCAGAAGCGCUCACUUCCGGUCCUAGGGCUUCCCAGGCACUUCCCCUCUCCAGGCCAUGGUCUCCUGUGAACACGAAGGAAGCCGUUUUUGGAGGACUUGGACAGAUUCUUCUCUGAAAAUUCAGUUUAAAAUGGAUUUCAGGAUUUCUUAUUCAGAACACGGACGCUCUCCUUGUGAGUCACUGAGAUGGAGCUCUGUAUAGAGCAUCUACAGCAUGCAAAAGGCCCAGGUUUCAAUUCCCAAUCCGGCCAGGUCUUUCCUUUCUUCUGCACAAAGUGUGACAGUCAGGGUUGGGGAGGUGGUGUGGUCAACAAUGUGCUCGAUGCAUAAGCUGGAGGACCUGAGUUCGAGUCCCAGCCCUCAGGCAUGGAGGUGGACAUGAGCAAUUGCCUUGCAGGAGAGGUAAGCCAACCAGCCCCACCUGACAUAGAAAGAAACCCAGAUCUCAG